CAAUAGUACUAAACACACCACUCACUCACUGGUGUCACAAUAGCUUGGAUUUAAAAACAAAAAACUUUUUUCACUGUUAUAGAUUGAAUAGCAGUUAGUUAUCUUCAAGCAGGUGUGUCAGCCCUACAGCGUGUACUCUGCCAGUACGCUGCCACCUCCUCUACUCCUCCUACUCCAUCCUCUUCCAUAACCUCCUCGGCUUAGU